UGAUGCUCAAGUCAGUACUCUGCUUCAACAAAAAUGGAGUGCUCGAGUGAAAAUUUUAGCAGAGUUUCGAGAUAGAGUUUAGAGUUUAAAAAAGAACAUAUCUGGAGGUCCCUUUUUAUAGACGGAGAGCGUAACUGAUUGAUAGUGACGUCUGUAACCGCCUGAUAGUGGGCCAUUCAGAGCCGUACGGAGUUUGUUACAGAGAGUAGUGGCAUUAGGGGUCGUUCAGGGCCACGUGGAG
rnacentral:lncRNA from 1 species